AUACGUAGGUGGCGAGCAUUGUCCGGAAUUACUGGGUGUAAAGGGCGAGUAGGCGGGGCGGCAAGUCAGGUGUGAAAUUUACGGGCUUAACCCGUAAACUGCAUUUGAAACUGCUGUUCUUGAGUGAUGGAGAGGCAGGCGGAAUUCCUAGUGUAGCGGUGAAAUGCGUAGAUAUUAGGAGGAACACCAGUGGCGAAGGCGGCCUGCUGGACAUUAACUGACGCUGAGGCGCGAAAGCGUGGGGAGCAAACAGGAUUAGAUACCCUGGUAGUCCACGCUGUAAACGAUGGAUACUAGGUGUGGAGGGUACUGACCCCCUCCGUGCCGGAGUUAACACAAUAAGUAUCCCACCUGGGGAGUACGGCCGCAAGGUUGAA
rnacentral:rRNA from 1 species